CAAGGGAACGGGCUUGGAAUAAUCAGCGGGGAAAGAAGACCCUGUUGAGCUUGACUCUAGUCCGACACCGUGAGUCGACUUGAGGGGUGUAGAAUAAGUGGGAGGGUUCGCCCGCCGGUGAAAUACCACUACCUUCAAUGUUGAUUCACUUAUUCAAUGGGGCGGGGCUGUACUUCGGUGCACCUUGUGGCUCUAAGCGCUGCCUUUGGUGGCGUGACCCGCGUUGAAGACGCUGUCAGGUGGGGAGUUUGGCUGGGGCGGCACAUCUGUUAUACGACAACGCAGGUGUUCAAA
rnacentral:rRNA from 1 species